CCUACGGGAGGCAGCAGUGAGGAAUAUUGGUCAAUGGACGAGAGUCUGAACCAGCCAAGUAGCGUGAAGGAUGACUGCCCUAUGGGUUGUAAACUUCUUUUAUAUGGGAAUAAAAUGUUCCACGUGUGGGAUUUUGUAUGUACCAUAUGAAUAAGGAUCGGCUAACUCCGUGCCAGCAGCCGCGGUAAUACGGGGGAUCCGAGCGUUAUCCGGAUUUAUUGGGUUUAAAGGGAGCGUAGGUGGAUUGUUAAGUCAGUUGUGAAAGUUUGCGGCUCAACCGUAAAAUUGCAGUUGAAACUGGCAGUCUUGAGUACAGUAGAGGUGGGCGGAAUUCGUGGUGUAGCGGUGAAAUGCUUAGAUAUCACGAAGAACUCCGAUUGCGAAGGCAGUUCACUGGACUGCAACUGACACUGAGGCUCGAAAGUGUGGGUAUCAAACAGGAUUAGAUACCCCUGUAGUC
rnacentral:rRNA from 1 species